UGGAUUCUAAUUUUGAUUCCAAAAGUUUGUACCUACUAUUCAAGAAUAAAGGUCACCAAAGUUCAUGUGUUUAAGGAUUACAAUCUAAAGCAAUGAUUAAGAGAUACGUGACUGAGCGUAAAUCAAGCUGAAACCUCAGAAGGCAAAACUGAAAAUAAGUAUUUUGGAAGUGUUGCCUUCUACAGAAUCCAUGCUACUCCGAAGCUCUUCUACAGUUUUUGUCAAACUCUGAUUUUCCAUCUCCA